GGUUUAAUUACCCAGUUUUGAGGUAAACAUUGAAUCCGCCCUUUCAAAUGGAAGUGGCGAAGACAAAUUUUGGAACUGCAUCUCUUCGGAGGUGCUUA
rfam:Steinernema glaseri strain NC unplaced genomic scaffold GLAS_7382, whole genome shotgun sequence.